rnacentral:lncRNA from 1 species
AAGGUGGAUUUAUGUAUGUACACACAAUAUAGAAAUACACACAUAUGUAUAAACCAUUUGUGUUUUUCCAGUGAUGCUACAUAACUGAGAACCAUAAAACACCAGAAUCAUAGUAGAAGAUGACAAAGUCAAUGGACAACAACAGAUUAGCAGUGAUGAGCUGUCCACAAGACAUGUUGCAAAGUUAUUGUCCUGUUGAUGUAGAUCAUUAGAAAAGGAACAUAAUAAGGAAAGGAGUUAGAAAGCAGGUGAAUUUCUCUUUAUGUUUCCUGAAUCUGAAAAGUUGUGGCUACCAAAAAAGAUGGAUAAAUAAGAGUCCCUGGAGGAAGACAUCUACAUCAAUGAACUCCCUAUUGUUCCUGUGUCAUUUUACUUUAAUUGUUGAGAUUAAUAAAUUGCCCUUCCCAUGUUUCUGUCAAGAC